rnacentral:rRNA from 1 species
GCGUGCACCUCCUCUACGUGAGCGGCAGUCCCCUUCCGACCACUGAACCUAAGCUGAAGCUGGCCCGGAUAGUAGUGACAUCGGUGACGGGUCGCGAAGUCCGGGUACUGCUCACC